rnacentral:rRNA from 1 species
AUGGUCUGCAUCACAAGAAGCUUACCGGAUUUCCAAAAGAUGACAAGGCCAAAGUUAGGGCAAAGUGUGAUUGGCCAACAUGUCCAUUUAUGCCCCAAAAGGAAGGACAAUACGUUAGUUAACUCAACAAGAAUUGCUGCCAAGUAUGACAAGCUUAUCAGAUCUAACCUAAUGUGGAAGAUUUCAAGCUUGAAACAACAUAUUCAGGAAGACAUGUUUGCCAAUGUGACCACUGCUCAAGUGAAGAGAGCUAAGAAGAUUGUGAUGAAAAAGUGGCUUGAUGCAGGAAAGGUCAAAUAG